rnacentral:rRNA from 1 species
AAUUGCGGUUGCCUUAACAUGCAGUCGAGCGGCUGCACGGACUUUGGUCUGGGGUCCAGCGGCGAACGGGUGAGUAAUGCCUCGGAACCUGCCCGGUAGUGGGGGAUAACUACCGGAAACGGUCGCUAAACCGCAUACGCCCUACGGGGGAAAGUGGGGGGAUCUUCGGACUUGCGCUUUGGAUGAGCCUAUGUCGGAUUAGCUAGUUGGUGGGGUAACGGCUCACCAAGGCGACGAUCCGUAACUGGUCUGAGAGGAUGACCAGCCACACUGGAACUGAGACACGGCCCAGACUCCUACGGGAGGCAGCAGUGGGGAAUAUUGGACAAUGGGCGAAACCCUGAUCCAGCCAUGCCGCGUGUGCGAAGAAGGUCUUCGGAUUGUAAAGCACUUUUGGUUGGAAGGAAGGGCCGCGGGUUAAUACCUUGCUGUUUUGACGUUACCUGCAGAAUAAGCACCGGCUAACUUCGUGCCAGCAGCCGCGGUAAUACGAAGGGUGCAAGCGUUAAUCGGAAUUACUGGGCGUAAAGCGCGCGCAGGCGGUUCAGAAAGAAAGAUGUGAAAUCCCCGAGCUUAAACUUUGGGACCUGCAUUUUUAAACUACUGAGCUAGAGUGUGUGUAGAGGGGUGGUGGAAUUCUCGCUGUGUAGCAGGUGAAAUGCGUAGAUAUGCGGAGGAACACCGAGUGGCGAAGGCAGACCUCCUGGGAUGAUACUGACGCUCAUGCAGCAAAGCGUGGGCGAGCAAACCAGGAUUAGAUUACCCUGGUAGUCCACGCCCUAAACGAUGUCAACUAGCUCGUGGGGCUCCUCUGACCUCUGAAUGGCACCUCAACGCGCGAAAUUGACACCCCUGUGGAGAACACUCCAAGAUUAAAACUCACAGGAGAUUUACCGGGACCCCCACACACGGUGUAUAUGUGUAUUUAUUCUAUGCACGCGCAAAACACCUAUAUACGCUUCGAGAUGUCUGGAAUGCUUACAGAUUUGGCAUUGUGCUGCCUUCGAGAACCGAAACCACAGGUGCUGCAUGCUGUCGUCAACUCGUGUCGUGAAGAUGUUUGGAUUAAUUCCCGCAACGAGCGCAACUCUUUGUCUUUUAGUUG